GAGCGGUUACCAAUUUGUAGCAAUACAGAUGAAGUGAUAGCGGCAGACGGGUGAGUAACACGUAGGCAAUCUACCUUUCCGUCCGGGAUAACUAGCCGAAAGGUUAGCUAAUACCAGAUACGACCACCGAGCGGCAUCGCUUGGUGCUGAAAGCAGCAAUGCGCGGAUUGAGGAGCCUGCGCCCCAUUAGCUAGUUGGUGCGGGUAACGGCCCACCAAGGCGACGAUGGGUAGCUGGUCUGAGAGGACGACCAGCCACACUGGGACUGAGACACGGCCCAGACUCCUACGGGAGGCAGCAGUGAGGAAUUUUCCGCAAUGGGCGAAAGCCUGACGGAGCGACGCCGCGUGCACGAGGAAGGUCUUCGGAUCGUAAAGUGCUGUCGAGGGGGACGAUUAUGACGGUACCCCUGGAGGAAGCCCCGGCUAACUACGUG
rnacentral:rRNA from 1 species